rnacentral:rRNA from 1 species
AGAGUUUGAUCAUGGCUCAGAGCGAACGCUGGCGGCAUGCUUAACACAUGCAAGUCGCACGGGCCGGGCAACCGGUCAGUGGCGGACGGGUGAGUAACGCGUAGGUAUCUAUCCUUGGGUGGGGGAUAACCAUGGGAAACCGUGGCUAAUACCGCAUGACGACUGAGGUCCAAAGGCGCGAGUCGCCUGGGGAGGAGCCUGCGUCCGAUUAGCUAGUUGGUGGGGUAAAGGCUCACCAAGGCUACGAUCGGUAGCUGGUCUGAGAGGAUGAUCAGCCACACUGGGACUGAGACACGGCCCAGACUCCUACGGGAGGCAGCAGUGGGGAAUAUUGGACAAUGGGCGCAAGCCUGAUCCAGCAAUGCCGCGUGGGUGAAGAAGGUUUUCGGAUUGUAAAGCCCUUUCGACGGGGACGAUGAUGACGGUACCCGUAGAAGAAGCCCCGGCUAGCUUCGUGCCAGCAGCCGCGGUAAUACGAAGGGGGCUAGCGUUGCUCGGAAUGACUGGGCGUAAAGGGCGCGUAGGCGGAUUGUACAGUCAGAUGUGAAAUUCCUGGGCUCAACCUGGGGGCUGCAUUUGAUACGUAUGGUCUGGAGUGAGGAAGAGGGUCGUGGAAUUCCCAGUGUAGAGGUGAAAUUCGUAGAUAUUGGGAAGAACACCGGUGGCGAAGGCGGCGACCUGGUCCUUUACUGACGCUGAGGCGCGAAAGCGUGGGGAGCAAACAGGAUUAGAUACCCUAGUAGUCC